ensembl:lncRNA
CUGAAAUAAUGUUCAUGUCUCCUCCAAGCCCAGAAAUGUGCUGCGGUGUGAACAGAAGGGGGGCUUUUCAUGGAUGCUUAAUUUACGCUAAACAGACAACCAUCAGUUGUAAGCAGCCAUAAUAUCUGGAUAAUGGAUGUUGAAGGCAAACACAUCUGUUGAAUCAGGGCACCUACAGUGCUUCUCUCUUCGCUGGAGAAUGUUUCUGUCUACGGCCCAGAUGAGGAAAGUCUCCAAGCCACAACAUGACAUCCAUCUCAGGAUCUUUAAUGAGGAUGUCUACCACUGGAGACGCUGGAUUCAUGUGAGGCCCACAUUGAGACAAGAGAAGAUGUGACUUAAUCAAGGAGAUGCACUUCUCCUUCCCCUGCUCUUUGAUGUAGUGAAAAGACGUCCAUGGUUAACCCUGAGUGUGCAGCGGCUGAGCAUUUCUCUUUCAAGCCUGAGAUGAUGAAAGUGAUAGUGCCGUGGUGGCGCUGUAUCGGGGGGAGUCCAGCUUCUCUCGAAAAAGAGAUGUGACCCUGAUUGAAAUGAGGAACAUAUUUGAUCUUGAAAUGAAGUGCUUCUUUGCUUUGCACUAAUGCACUCAUCUUUGAUCACCAAGCGUAAUUGAUAUUACCGCUUUGCCUUUAAAGCUUUCUGAACGAUACGCCAGCAUAUUGUCCAGAGCAUAUUGGUGGAAGGAUGUUCAUUGUAUAGGAUAUUCCCAGAUCAGAUGAAUGAAUGAAUGAAUGAAUAAAUAAAUGAAUGAUGCAUUUAUAUAGUGCUUU